AGUAAGAAAAAACAACAGGGAUCCUGUAGCACAUCAGUUUUAAAACUGUCGUGAGAACAGUUUUACGAAGUUAUGCCUCACGCUGCUUGAACCCCUAAUAUUAAAACAUUUCUGCAAACAAUCUCUGACCAUGAAAUUGGUAAGUAAUUCACUUAUAGCUCAGCAGUGGAAUCAAUACUUUUUUGCACUUCAAAAUGUAACAUUUUCCUUGGGUUUCACGUGUUUGUUGUUUGUGGGUGGAUCCGCAGUCACCUUGGGCCACUUCUGUUUGGUGAGCAUGACUGACAGGUGAGGAACAUGAGACUUCUGACUGGUGAAAAUGACUGUCACACAUUUCGAUUUGAAAGUGAUAAAUCAUUCAGCUCUAUCUCGCAGGGCCCUUUUCUGGACUCUCAGAUCUAUAGUAUGCCAUGCUUGGAGCUCUCACAGAUUCCCUUUUCUGGACUCUCAGAUCUAUAGUAUGCCAUGCUUGGAGCUCUCACAGGUUCCCUUUUCUGGACUCUCAGAUCUAUAGUAUGCCAUGCUUGGAACUCUCGCAGGUUCUCAUAUUUGGAUACUCAGGUGUAGAGUAUGCUAUGUUAGCUCUCGCAGGCAGUGGCGGAUCCUGGCAAGAGCAAGAUAGGGAACAUUGGCAAUCAACUGAUCGAUUCACACGACCCAUGGACUGACAGAGGAACAUUAGGGAAUCUGAGAACAGGUGAAAUGAAAAGCACACAGCUCUGUCACAUGGCAUUCUACCACAAACUUAAUGUGCUUUUUAAUACUGUUAUGCACUUCAGUGCCCAGUAUAAUAACAGAAAUCAUCUUCACCCAACAUCUGCAUUGUUUUCUUGUAAAAUACUAGAGACAUGCAUCACCCAGCCUUGUAUAGCUAGUUGCUUUAGCUGGAUCAUUUUGAUGAAGUGCAGACUGGUUUGUUCUCCCAGGUGUUUUUAAAAUAGGAAGAUAUUGAGAAAACCGAGCCUUCGCCUCUGUGCAGUUUAUUAUGGCAAAGAAACAAAAACGGAGAAUAUUACUUUGGGGUUCCUAAACCUCUCCAGCUACGUGAGGGUGAACCCGUAGCCUCAGCAUGGUGGUAUCUCAGUUUGUCUUCCUUACCCUCUAAUGGUGUUUCCCUGAAUAUCUC